CCCACACACUAACACUAGCCUUCUACCCUUAUCCUCGACCUCCACACCUUCCUAUCUAGGGCCAUGUCCUCAAUAGGCUGAAGCUGCUCCAUGUUAUGUCUAAUCACCUCCAUUUAGUAUUACUUCGGUCUACCUCUACUCCUCCUAAAAUAAUCCAACGCUAGCCUCUCACACCUACUAACUGGGGCAUCCACGUCCCCUCCUCAUCACAUGCCCAAAACAUCUCAGCUUUCCUUCCCGCAUCUUGUCCUCUACCAAAGCCACUCCUACCUUCUCCC
rnacentral:lncRNA from 1 species